AGCGAACGCUGGCGGCGUGCUUAACACAUGCAAGUCGAACGUGAAAUGUAGCAAUACAGAGUAAAGUGGCGUACGGGUGAGUAACACGUGGGUAAUCUACCAAAGAGCCUGGAAUAACCGACCGAAAGGUUGGCUAAUACUGGAUAGUUCAAAUGAAAUAUAACGUUUCGAUUGGGAAAGGGAGCGAGCAAUCGCCUUCACUUUUUGAUGAGCCCGCGUCUGACUUAGCUAGUUGGUAGGGUAAUGGCCUACCAAGGCGACGAUCAGUAGCUGGUCUGAGAGGAUGAUCAGCCACCCUGGAACUGAAACACGGUCCAGACUCCUACGGGAGGCAGCAGUGGGGAAUCUUGCGCAAUGGACGAAAGUCUGACGCAGCCACGCCGCGUGAGUGAAGAAGGCCUUCGGGUUGUAAAGCUCUGUCGGAAGGGACAAAAACGUUUAAGGCUAAUAGCCUUAGAUCUUGAUGGUACCUUCAAAGGAAGCACCGGCUAACUUCGUGCCAGCCGCCGCAGUAA
rnacentral:rRNA from 1 species